rnacentral:rRNA from 1 species
UACGGGGGGGGCAAGCGUUGUUCGGAAUUGCUGGGCGUAAAGGGCUCGUAGGCGGCCAACUAAGUCAGACGUGAAAUCCCUCGGCUUAACCGGGGAACUGCGUGUGAUACUGGCGGGCUCGAAUUCGGGAGAGGGAUGUGGAAUUCCAGGUGUAGCGGUGAAAUGCGUAGAUAUCUGGAGGAACACCGGUGGCGAAGGCGGCAUCCUGGACCGAGAUUGACGCUGAUGCGCGAAAGCUAGGGGAGCAAACGGG